UACGAGGGGGGCGAGCGUUGUUCGGAAUUAUUGGGCGUAAAGGGUGCGUAGGCGGCCUGACAAGUCUGAUGUGAAAUCCCUGGGCUCAACCCAGGGCCUGCAUCGGAAACUGUCGGGCUUGAGUAUGGGAGAGGUGAGUGGAAUUUCCGGUGUAGCGGUGAAAUGCGUAGAUAUCGGAAGGAACACCUGUGGCGAAAGCGGCUCACUGGACCAUUACUGACGCUGAGGCACGAAAGCUAGGGGAGCGAAUGGG
rnacentral:rRNA from 1 species